rnacentral:lncRNA from 1 species
CUCACUCUGACCUUCCUCCCUACAAAGUUGUGUGCUUCUCCUUUUCCUUAUGCCAUGAUUGUUAAGUUUCCUGAGGCCUCCCCAGCAAUGCAGAACUGUAAUUAUCCAGUUGAUAUUUAUCUUGUUCCAGUCACCUUUAGAAAGCUGUUUGGCAAGGGCAGUGACUGGAAGCUGGGAGAGAGGGUCAACAGCUGAAUCUC